rnacentral:lncRNA from 1 species
CUGAAAUGGCUGGGAAUGUGACUUUCUAAUUUUAAAUUAUCUUUAACAAGGGCAAUGAAAAGAGGAAAAGUUGACACUUUGAGAAGUUAUGACGAACUUGUCGAGAAUGCCAAUUGACAAAGGCAGGUAAGGGAAUACUUGGAAAAACAGAACAAGAACAGGUCUGAAGGGCAUGAUGAUCUUCUUCCUAGUGUGUUAAGGGAAUUGGCGGGCAUGUUUAUUGACUCUUCCAAUUAGUUUUAAAGAAACCUGAAGAAAUGGACAAUGACGGAGAAAAGCCAACCAGAUGUGAUUCUCCCCUUCCAGAAGCAGAGAGCUUAUCUCAUCCCAUGUGAUCAAUGCCGGUCCUGGGGAAGACUGACUGUGUAGAAGUGAAUGGAUUUCCAACAUACCAAUCACAGAAGAAACAAGGGUAUAUUUAGCAAGUCUAAAACCUCUUCGAUAAACUGCAUUGCUUUUCAUUUGCACCGUAAGGUCAUAAAGCCAGUGGAUGGUAAGAAGGCCGUGGUAACGACACAGCGUGUACUCCCAGGAAGUGUGUGGGAUGGGGAUGUUAUAUCUGAAAGGACAGGGCAUCUGGGAGGAUGAACUGCCCAUAACUCUCAAUUGCCCAGGUAAUGAAGCAUUGGAAAGCAAAGGCAAAUGAAAUACUUUGAUAAUCAAAAAUGAUGCUUCUUGUAGUGAUCCCAUUAGUUGACUGAUGAUGACAAGUGUGAAAUUGUGAGCUGUAUUUUUACCAUUUCUGGCACUCAUGGCCCAUUUCUGUUGAGUGCAUUUAUGCAGAAAGUGGGAACCCGGACAAUUUCCAUAGACCAGGCUGUUAACCCAGAAGAUGUAAAAUUUCACAGCGUGAAGGAUGAGGGUUGAAGAUUAGCGAGGGACUAAAAUUUCUUGAGGCCCUACAAAGAAUCCGUAGAAGAACUGAUAACUACACUGAUUGGCUCUGGGAAGUCCUAAAGCUCGUGUUCUAACCUUGAGCUGUGAGGGUGUGUGCUGGGUACGUGGUACUCACUCA